rnacentral:lncRNA from 13 species
AUUGACAAAAAGAGUGUGAUCAUUUGUGUACAGCUGCAACCUCAACCCCAGCUUUGUCAUCACUGUGAACCUCAGUAAAGACAGCCCAACCAUGGAUCAGAAAAUCAAUGAAUGCCCCACCACCACCUCCCCCCAGAAACAGAUGAAGAGUAGGUCCAAAUCGACCGAUGAGAUCCAGCACACCAAGAGGCUUUCAUCACAGAAAUCCCUUCCCGGUGGGCCGGACCUGGACAAAGUCAAGGUGUGUGUGUUUGUGCGUGUGCAUGUUUUGCACUCCUUUUUUCCACUAACGGGAUUAUCAGAAUUAAUAGCAACUAAUACACAGUUCAUUUUGUGUAUGUAA